rnacentral:rRNA from 1 species
CCUACGGGUGGCAGCAGUGAGGAAUAUUGGUCAAUGGGCGCAAGCCUGAACCAGCCAAGUCGCGUGAGGGAUGAAGGUUCUAUGGAUUGUAAACCUCUUUUAUAAGGGGAUAAAGUGCGGGACGUGUCCCGUUUUGUAUGUACCUUAUGAAUAAGGAUCGGCUAACUCCGUGCCAGCAGCCGCGGUAAUACGGAGGAUCCGAGCGUUAUCCGGAUUUAUUGGGUUUAAAGGGUGCGGAGGCGGCCUGUUAAGUCAGCGGUGAAAGUCCGGGGCUCAACCAUGGAAUUGCCGUGGAAACUGGGAGGCUUGAGUGGGUUGGAGGCAGGCGGAAUGCGUGGUGUAGCGGUGAAAUGCUGAGAGAUCACGCAGAACCCCGAUUGCGAAGGCAGCCUACCAAGCCAUUACUGACGCUGAGGCACGAAAGCGGGGGGAUCGAACAGGAUUAGAUACCCGAGUAGUC